UCAGGCACCUAUCGAAGCUGUCGUCGUUCUUGUGUAGCAGGUCAAAAGGUAGCCACCGACGGUCACUGUGCAGUUUGACAGUAAUUAACUCGGCAACAUUAACGGGAAGGACGUGU
ensembl:snoRNA